GACGAACGCUGGCGGCGUGCUUAACACAUGCAAGUCGAACGAGAGGAGAAGGAAGCUUGCUUCUUUCGAAUCUAGUGGCAAACGGGUGAGUAACACGUAAACAACCUGCCUUCAGGAUGGGGACAACAGACGGAAACGACUGCUAAUACCGAAUACGUUCCUUAGGUCGCAUGACUUUAGGAAGAAAGGGUGGCCUCUACUUGUAAGCUAUCGCCUGAAGAGGGGUUUGCGUCUGAUUAGGUAGUUGGUGAGGUAACGGCCCACCAAGCCGACGAUCAGUAGCCGGUCUGAGAGGAUGAACGGCCACACUGGAACUGAGACACGGUCCAGACUCCUACGGGAGGCAGCAGUGGGGAAUCUUCCGCAAUGGGCGAAAGCCUGACGGAGCAACGCCGCGUGAGUGAUGACGGCC
rnacentral:rRNA from 1 species